rnacentral:lncRNA from 1 species
AUGGGAAUCAAACCCACAUCUUGGCGAAGGCCGUGCGCCGUGCUCUACCAGCUGAGCCACAUGGGACAAUAUCCUCCAGUGUACUUGGAAUCAUCCACAGCGAUGGAACAAUGUGUCUUCUGGCCUGUGGUCGAUAACAUUCUGGAUAACCCUUGUAGACAGACUGAGGGACUCCUGCAAACUCCAAGCCAAUUCACCCGGAUGAGUCGAGACAGAAAAACAGUGAGAAAAUGUCCAUCGAAGCCUCGAUAGUCUAAUAAUGUAUAUUGUACCUUGAAGAAGUCCAGAAGGUUCUUCCAUUCUAUAUUGGACACCCGCCACCACAUAACUGGACAGCUUGGACUUUUCCUGAAUGGUAAAUAAAAAGUUGUUUUUGCAAUUGUUGAUGACGUUUGCCCAGCCCAUUAUACUUAAGCAAUAAGGCCAGAGGGGGUGUGGUAUAUAGCCAAUAUACCACGGCUAAGGACUGUUCUUUGCGGCGUGCCUGGAUACAGCCCUUAGCUGUGGUAUAUUGGCCAUAUACCACAAACCCCUGAGGUGCCUUAUUGCUACACUGGGCGUAUAUACUGUACUCUAUAUCAUCUACUGCAUCUUUAUGUAAUACAUGUAUCACUAGCCACUUUACCUAUGCCACUUUGUUUACAUACUCAUCUCAUAUGUAUAUACUGUACUCGAUACCAUCUACUGUAUCUUGCCUAUGCCACUCUGUACCAUCACUNNNNNNNNNNNNUCUCAUAUGUAUAUACUGUACUCGAUACCAUCUACUGUAUCUUGCCUAUGCCGCUCUGUACCAUCACUGAUUCAUAUAUCUUUAUGUACAUAUUCUUUAUCCCCUUACACUUGUGUGUAUAAGACAGUAGUUUUGGAAUUGUUAGUUAGAUUAGUUGUUGGUUAUUACUGCAUUGUCAGAACUAGAAGCACAAGCAUUUCGCUACACUCGCAUUAACAUCUGCUAACCAUGUGUAUGUGACAAAUAAAAUUUGAUUUGAUAUAAUGAAAUAAAUACUAUUUUUGUCAGUCAU